GUCAACAAUAUCAGGGCCAGUACAUUGCCCAGUAACCCAGCAGCAAAAAGAGUCCCGGUGAUCGCUGAGGAGCUCCCGCUCUCCACCCAGCAUGAUAACUGCGGAAAUAUGUGUAGAAGAAUUGCACUUUUUUUUUUUUUUUUUAACAUAUAUUACUUGCCAUGCAAGGAAGUGGAAAGGAAGGGAAAAGAAGAGGAAUGGAGUGAGAAAAAAACUUGGAACACAAGAUUUUGCAAAGGUGAAUGUUGAAAACUAUGUCUAUAUUUUAAAAUUUUUAAAACUUAAAAAAAAAAAGAAAAAGAAAAAAAAUAA